AAAAAUUGAAAUCUUAAAAAUAUAAGAAUAAUGUUAUACAUUAAAUACAAGCUAAAUAAGACUUUUUAUAAAUGUUGCAUAAGAAAGAGUUAAUUAAUCAACAUCAAUAAGAAAAUCUAUCAUUAUAAUAUCUUUAAAUUAUUUAUACAUAAAGGCUAGAUCUUUGACCUGAAUUUUGAGUCAAAAUAAUGUGAAUCACACAAGCUUAUAUACGGUGCUUGGUAGGGGUGGGCGUUCGGGUACCCGUUCUGGUUCGGGUCGG
rnacentral:lncRNA from 1 species